GGCGGUGUAGCUCAGUUGGUUAGAGCAUACGGUUCAUAUCCGUAGUGUCCGGGGUUCGAGUCCCUGCACCGCCACCA
rnacentral:tRNA from 4 species